CGUCUAGGCGGGGAGUUAAGUUAGGUGUGAAAUCUAUGGGCUCAACUCAUAAACUGCAUCUAAAACUGAUUCUCUUGAGUUCGGGAGAGGGAAGCGGAAUUCCCGGUGUAACGGUGAAAUGUGUAGAUAUCGGGAGGAACACCAGUGGCGAAGGCGGCUUUCUGGCCUAGAACUGACGCUGAAGCGCGAAAGCGCGGGUAGCGAACG
rnacentral:rRNA from 1 species